rnacentral:rRNA from 1 species
UACGGAGGGUGCAAGCGUUAAUCGGAAUUACUGGGCGUAAAGCGUGCGCAGGCGGUUUGUUAAGUCCGUUGUGAAAGCCCCGAGCUCAACUUGGGAAUUGCAGUGGAUACUGGCAGGCUGGAGUACGGUAGAGGAAGGUGGAAUUCCCGGUGUAGCAGUGAAAUGCGUAGAUAUCGGGAGGAACACCAGUGGCGAAAGCGGCUCACUGGACCGCAACUGACGCUGAGGCGCGAAAGCUAGGGGAGCAAACAGG